GAUGAAGAACGCAGCGAAAUGCGAUAAGUAAUGUGAAUUGCAGAAUUCAGUGAAUCAUCGAAUCUUUGAACGCACAUUGCGCCCGCCAGUAUUCUGGCGGGCAUGCCUGUUCGAGCGUCAUUUCAACCAUCAAGCCCCAGGCUUGUGUUGGGGACCUGCGGCUGCCGCAGGCCCUGAAAACCAGUGGCGGGCUCGCUGUCACACCGGGCGUAGUAGAUUUUAUCUCGCUCAGGGCGUGCUGCGCGUUCCGGCCGUUAAAAAGCCUUUUUUACCCAAGGUUGACCUCGGAUCAGGUAGGAAGACCCGCUGAACUUAAGCAUAUCAAUAAGCGGAGGA
rnacentral:misc_RNA from 1 species